AGCCUCCCGCAAGGGCACUUGUAGAGGUGCUGCAUGGCUGUCGUCAGCUCGUGUCGUGAGAUGUUGGGUUAAGUCCCGCAACGAGCGCAACCUUGUUUGCUGUUGCCAUCAGGUAAUGCUGGGCACUCUGCAAAGACUGCCGGUGAUAAACCGGAGGAAGGUGGGGAUGACGUCAAGUCAGCAUGGCCUUUAUGUCUGGGGCUACACACGUGCUACAAUGGCCGAUACAAACCGUCGCGAGCCCGCAAGGGGGAGCUAAUCGGAGAAAGUCGGUCUCAGUUCGGAUUGCAGGCUGCAACUCGCCUGCAUGAAGUUGGAAUCGCUAGUAAUCGCGGAUCAGCACGCCGCGGUGAAUACGUUCCCGGGCCUUGUACACACCGCCCGUCACAUCACGAAAGCCGGUUGUACUAGAAGUCGCCACACCAACCCGCAAGGGAGGGAGGCGCCUAAGGUAUGGUCGGUGAUUGGGGUGAAGUCGUAACAAGGUAAGCGUAGAUGA
rnacentral:rRNA from 1 species